rnacentral:rRNA from 1 species
UACAGAGGGGGCAAGCGUUAUUCGGAAUUAUUGGGCGUAAAGGGCGCGUAGGCGGCUUUGCAAGUGACGGGUGAAAGCCCUCGGCUUAACCGAGGAACUGCCUGUCAGACUGUGAGGCUUGAGACCGGGAGAGGUGAGUGGAAUUCCGAGUGUAGAGGUGAAAUUCGUAGAUAUUCGGAAGAACACCAGUGGCGAAGGCGGCUCACUGGCCCGUAACUGACGCUGAGGCACGAAAGCGUGGGGAGCAAACAGG